GAAUGGCUCAGUGAGGCGUUCGGACUGGCUCGGGGAGGUUGGCAACGACCACCCCAAGCCGGAAAGUUCGUCAAACUCGGUCAUUUAGAGGAAGUAAAAGUCGUAACAAGGUCUCCGUAGGUGAACCUGCGGAGGGAUCAUUACACAAAUUAAAAUAUGAAGGCUUCGGCUGGAUUAUUUUUAUCACCCUUGUCUUUUGCGCACUUGUUGUUUCCUGGGCGGGUUCGCCCGCCACCAGGACCACACCAUAAACCUUUUUUAUGCAGUUGCAAUCAGCGUCAGUAUAACAAAUGUAAAUCAUUUACAACUUUCAACAACGGAUCUCUUGGUUCUGGCAUCGAUGAAGAACGCAGCGAAAUGCGAUACGUAGUGUGAAUUGCAGAAUUCAGUGAAUCAUCGAAUCUUUGAACGCACAUUGCGCCCUUUGGUAUUCCAAAGGGCAUGCCUGUUCGAGCGUCAUUUGUACCCUCAAGCUUUGCUUGGUGUUGGGCGUCUUUUGUCUUUGGCCUCGCCCAAAGACUCGCCUUAAAACGAUUGGCAGCCGGCCUACUGGUUUCGCAGCGCAGCACAUUUUUGCGCUUGCAAUCAGCAAAAAGGACGGCAAUCCAUCAAGACUACAUUUUUACGUUUGACCUCGGAUCAGGUAGGGAUACCCGCUGAACUUAAGCA
rnacentral:rRNA from 1 species